rnacentral:rRNA from 1 species
AACGGCCAUACCAUGCUGAAUAUACCGGUUCUCGUUAGAUUCCACCGAAGUCAAGCAUCAUUGGGCGCGGUCAGUACUUGGGUGGGUGACCACCUGGGAAACCCCG